AUUGAACGCUGGCGGGAUGCUUUACACAUGCAAGUCGAACGGCAGCGCGGACUUCGGUCUGGCGGCGAGUGGCGAACGGGUGAGUAAUGUAUCGGAACGUGCCCAGUAGCGGGGGAUAACUACGCGAAAGCGUAGCUAAUACCGCAUACGCCCUACGGGGGAAAGCAGGGGAUCGUAAGACCUUGCACUAUUGGAGCGGCCGAUAUCGGAUUAGCUAGUUGGUGAGGUAACGGCUCACCAAGGCGACGAUCCGUAGCGGGUUUGAGAGGGCGACGAGCCACACUGGGACUGAGGCGCGGCCCAGGCGCCUACGGGAGGCAGCAGUGGGGAAUUUUGGACAAUGGGGGCAACCCUGAUCCAGCCAUCCCGCGUGUGCGAUGAAGGCCUUCGGGUUGUAAAGCACUUUUGGCAGGAAAGAAACGUCGCGGGCUAAUACCCCGUGGAACUGACGGUACCUGCAGAAUAAGCACCGGCUAACUACGU
rnacentral:rRNA from 1 species